GAUGAACGCUGGCGGCGUGCUUAACACAUGCAAGUCGAACGGUGAAGCCAAGCUUGCUUGGUGGAUCAGUGGCGAACGGGUGAGUAACACGUGAGCAACCUGCCCUGGACUCUGGGAUAAGCGCUGGAAACGGCGUCUAAUACUGGAUAUGAGACGUGAUCGCAUGGUCGUGUUUGGAAAGAUUUUUCGGUCUGGGAUGGGCUCGCGGCCUAUCAGCUUGUUGGUGAGGUAAUGGCUCACCAAGGCGUCGACGGGUAGCCGGCCUGAGAGGGGGACCGGCCACACUGGGACUGAGACACGGCCCAGACUCCUACGGGAGGCAGCAGUGGGGAAUAUUGCACAAUGGGCGAAAGCCUGAUGCAGCAACGCCGCGUGAGGGAUGACGGCCUUCGGGUUGUAAACCUCUUUUAGCAGGGAAGAAGCGAAAGUGACGGUACCUGCAGAAAAAGCGCCGGCUAACUACGUGCCAGCAGCCGCCGUAACAC
rnacentral:rRNA from 1 species